rnacentral:rRNA from 1 species
GUGCCAGCCGCCGCGGUAAUACCGGCAGCCCGAGUGAUGUCCGAUCUUAUUGGGCCUAAAGCGUCCGUAGCUGGCCGCGCAAGUCCGUCGGGAUAUCCAUCAGCCCAACUGAUGGGCUUCCGGCGGAAACUGCACGGCUUGGGACCGGAAGACUCGAGAGGUACGUCCGGGGUAGGAGUGAAAUCCUGUAAUCCCGCUCGGACCGCCGAUGGGGAAACCACCUCAGGAGAACGGAUCCGACAGUGAGGGACGAAAGCCAGGGUCUCCAACCGGAUUAGAAACCCCAGUAGUCC